ACGGUCCAUACUCCUACGGGAGGCAGCAGUGAGGAAUCUUCCGCAAUGGGCGAAAGCCUGACGGAGCGACACCGCGUGGAGGACGAAGGCCUUUUGGUUGUAAACUCCUUUUCUGGGGGAAUAAAUGAUGAAGGUACCCCAGGAAUAAGCACCGGCUAACUACGUGCCAGCAGCCGCGGUAAUACGUAGGGUGCAAGCGUUAUCCGGAAUCAUUGGGCGUAAAGCGUUCGUAGGUCGUUUGGAAAGUUUGUAGUUAAAUCCGGUCGCUCAACGAUCAAAUCGCUACAAAAACUACCAAGCUAGAGAAUGGCAGAGGCAACUGGAAUUCCACAUGUAGGGGUAAAAUCCGUUGAUAUGUGGAGGAACACCAAAAGCGAAGGCAGGUUGCUGGGCCAUUUCUGACGCUGAGGAACGAAAGCGUGGGGAGCAAACAGGAUUAGAUACCCUGGUAGUCCACGCCGUAAACGAUGGAUACUCGAUGUUGGAGGGAAUCGACCCCCUCCUGUGUCCAAGCUAACGCGUUAAGUAUCCCGCCUGGGGAGUACGGUCGCAAGAUUAAAACUCAAAGGAAUAGACGGGGACCCACACAAGCGGUGGAGCAUGUGGUUUAAUUCGACAAUAAACGGGGAACCUUACCAAGGCUUGACAUCUCCGGAAUCUCGAGGAAACUUGAGAGUGCCGUAAGGAACUGGAUGACAGGUGCUGCAUGGUCGUCGUCAGCUCGUGCCUUGAGGUGUUCGGUUAAGUCCGUAAACGAGCGCAACCCAUGUCUUAUGUUGCAUAUUUCAUAAGAGACUGCCGGCUCCAAGUCGGAGGAAGGUAUGGAUGACGUCAGAUCAGCAUGGCCCUUAUGCCUUGGGCCACACACGUGCUACAAUGGCCGGUACAAUGAGUAGUCAACCCGCAAGGGGGAGCCAAUCUCACCAAAGCCGGUCCAAGUUCGGAUAGGAGGCUGCAAUUCGACUCCUUGAAGUUGGAAUCGCUAGUAACCGCAAAUCAGCUAUGUUGCGGUGAAUAUGUUCCUGGGUCUUGUACUCACCGCCCGUCACAUCAUGAAAGAUGGGGGUGCCCGAAGUCGCCUUACCCCGCCUCGGUGGGGGGG
rnacentral:rRNA from 1 species